rnacentral:misc_RNA from 1 species
UGGUUCUGGCAUCGAUGAAGAACGCAGCGAAAUGCGAUAAGUAAUGCGAAUUGCAGAAUUUCCGUGAGUCAUCGAAUCUUUGAACGCACAUUGCGCCCUUUGGCAUUCCGAAGGGCAUGCCUGUUCGAGCGUCAUUAUCCUCCCUCAAACCUCUCGGGGUUUGGUGUUGGACCACGGGGGCGUCACCGCGCACCCCCCGGGUCUCAAAGACAAUGACGGCGUCCGUGGGACCCUCUUCGCACUGAGCUUUCCGGAGCACGCGUCGAGUCGCAAGGUCCCUCGGGCCCGGUCACACCUCACAUAUUUUACCAGGUUGACCUCGGAUCAGGUAGGAAUACCCGCUGA